rnacentral:lncRNA from 1 species
UCAGAUCACGCGUUGCUGUGGCUCUGGUGGAGGCUGGUGGCUACGGCUCUGAUUAGACCCCUAGCCUAGGAAUCUCCAUAUGCCUCGGGAGCGGCCCAAGAAAUAGCAAAAAGACAAAAAAAAAAAAAAAAAAAAAAAAAAAACAAAAAACAAAAAAAAAAACAAAAAAAACCAAAACUAUGUCUAGAUACUCAUGUUGCAAUAGAACAAAGGGUGGGGAAAAAAUGUGAAUGUAAUGUAUGCAUGUAAAGAUAACUUGAUCCCCUUGCUGUACAGUGGGAAAAAAAAAAGUGUGGAAAAAAAAAGAAAAUGAAGGGGGAGGGGAAAGCAACAGCAGAGGGGAUCCCAGAUGAUAGGAAAAAUGGGAGAUUAAAAAGAUUCGCAUUACUAGCUGGAUGUAGGCUCAGAACUCCCUGAAGGUUUAGCGUGAGGGGGACAAUCAUAGAAGAACCCCCCGCUUCAGAAAUACUUUACCCCAAGACUACACCAUUUUUCAUCUGUUUAAUUUCUGCUCUUGCAGGGAGUGGCAGUUCUCACGAAUGAACGUUCCCUGGUGCUCGCCUCCCUUCUUCUGCCAGGGUCUCCAGCCACAAGGGUUGGGGGACGUGGGCCUCGGCACCCAAUUUGCAGCGAGGCCGGGAAAUUGGUCCCGUUAGAGCAGAUUUCACCCAUCAGGAAUGCGCUGGGCCCCCGCCGCCUUCCUGCCACGGCCGCCCUCUACACAGACUGCUCCAGGGCCGGGGAAAUGCAGGACAGGAGCGCCACCUCCGCCGGUCAAAACACCGCCAGGUCAGCCGCUCUUGCCCCAGACUGCCCAGGCCAGGAGGACAAGGCUCGGGGCAGAUCCCAAGCCUCACCUCCGCCCGCACCGCUGAGAGGACGCCAGCGCUGGGUCGGGUGGUGGAUGCGGAACCCGCCCAGGGCCUGACCCCCAUGGCCGCCCCAGCCUCGCCUGGAGCAAGCAGAACCCUGACAUGGAUGUGGACAAGAACAGGACCCUGGACCUGGACAUGAACAAGCAGUGGCUGUGAGAGGGCUGCUGCCCCAUCCUGACACCCCUGGAGCCCAUGUCCCCCAGCAGCAGGCAGUAAUGAACAGAUGGUGUUUCCAGCUGAGAGAGGAGGACAGCUGGGACUUGCCCAUGGACUACACCAAAAUGAAGUCCUGAAGGAUAGAUGAGGAUGAGUCCAAAAGGAUUGCUGUAUGUCCUUGUCAUUGCCCCCACCUUUGUCCACACAGCAUGUGAAGUUGGCAUCACUGAGGAAAAUGCACUUGGCACACACCUCAGCAGAAUUGUCUUUUCUCUUUGAAUAUGACCUUUAGCUGAUCAGGGCUUAGAGGACUUAAGUUGACCCAGGAGAUAUUUGGAUUGAUUUGAGUGAAACAAACCAUUGACUUUUUUAAAUGAUGGAUUUCAUUUUCUAACAACUGUGUUUUGUAACAAACUAUUUCUCUAAGAAAGUGUAUAAACAGCAUACCAGUUCAUUUUUUUCUGGGUGACAGAGCGAUAUAAGGCAGAAUUUUCCUUUCAGAUGGAGAAUGGUAAUGAGAGUCUUAAAUAUUUAAAUGGUUAACUAUACGCUGUUAAUUACCUAGCUUUUUGAGGCUAAGGACAGGGUCUCUUCUCUAAGAAAUCUAAAAUAUUCAGAAGAGUAGACUCUAGCCUAGAAUGUCAACUUAGUACUGCCACCUAAAUCUUUGUUGACUAUAAUAUUACCAAAGCACCUAUGUCAAGAACAUAUUUCUAAAGUAGUUACAAUUUUGCAAUUCAGAUUAUUAAAAUAGUUAUCCUUUAGGCUAAGAAAGAAGUGAAAAAAAAAGUUUUUUGUUAGCCUGAGUCAAUUCUGAAAAUUAUGGUAUCCUCUUUAUUCCCUGGAAAAUGAACAUUCUUUUUGAACACAAUAGGGAGACCCUGAUCAAAGCAAGAGCAUCUUACAGAAACUGGCAGGCAGAGAAAAAGGAAACAUUUGCCAUUUGUAGGAACUGGCAGGGAAGUCACCUAUCUAUAAGGCUGGUGCUGCUAAAGCCUAUUAUCUUUGUUCUUCAAAUUGAUUUAAGUAUCCAGGCAUCUUAAAGAAUAAAAUCUGAAUGGCCAUCUAAAAUCCAUAGUAUUUUAUUCUGUCAUACAGUGUUAAGUUGCUACUACCAAAUAACACACAGUCGUUGAAUCUCUGGAUUUAUUUUUAUGUAUUUAUUUGGUCUUUUUGCCAUUUCUUGGGCGGCUCUCGCGGCAUAUGGAGGUUCCCAGGCUAGGGGUCCAAUCGGAGCUGUAGCCGCCGGCCUACACCAGAGCCACAGCAACGCAAGACCUGAGCCGCGUCUGCAACCUACACCACAGCUCACUGCAACGCCAGAUCGUUAACCCACUGAGCAAGGGCUGGGACCGAACCCGCAACCUCAUGGUUCCUAGUCGGAUUCGUUAACCACUGCGCCACGACGGGAACUCCUGGAUUUAUUUUAAUUAAAAUUAGUCCCGAAUAAACCGACAGGAGUAUUUCCACCACACAAGUGAAAACUGCACUCAUGAAAACACCACACAAGUGAAAACACCACGCAAGUGAAAACUGCACUCAUGAAACACCUUUGCUGAACACCGCCACCUAGAGGAAUUUUUAGGUUACUGCACGUUGCUGCAGGGGCCCCUGCUUAAUCAGAGUAGCUCCAUUUUGUUUGUUUUUAAGAGUAACUUUAAAUUAAGGCAUUAAUCUCAGUUUGUCUUACUUUGCCUCGGGAUUCAAGGCACAUAGGUAGAAUACUUACCCAAGAUUGGGUGCAGCAUUUAGGCUCUGCCCCAAGGUGUCAGAUAGAGUGCCCCAGGUGCUGAUCUGGGGUGAGUGAGAUCAACUGAGAAGCAGUCCAGGAUGCCUGACUGCUCCCUUUUGCAUCCUGCCUGCACAGCUGCAGGAAUUUGAAGAAGGAAUCUGGACCUGCCCUUGGGUCAGUUACCAGAUUUGGGGAACCAAAUGAAAGCAGGUGAUGAGAAAUCUGAGAAAUUGAUGCCCUGUGGGGGAGGGCUACUCUUUGAACAAAGUGAACCUUCAGGACCAGGGUCUCUGGGUGUGGAGGGGAAGGUUGGGAGAAGUGACCCUGUGGGCAGCCCUCCCCCCAGGCAUGGGUGCAGCCCAGGGUCUGUGUGUGGAACCAGCCUGGGUAUGGCCCAGAAGCUGUGUUUUGCCCACAGCCCAAAGACUCGGAUCCCUUCCAGGAAACACUCAAAGAAAGACAGUAUCCAGGGGAGGUGACCAGCCCAAGCCACGGACCCAAGUACCCCCAGUGCAAGGACAAAAUGGACGUAGGAACUUAAGUGCAAUGCGAGGUGAAACUCUCAUACUUUGGAAGUUCCCUUUCACACUUCUUUCUAAACUGGAUCUGUACAUGCCUUGCGGUUUGAACAUGAGACACAUGACACACACAAUAUUCAGGUGUCCAGACCACCGGUAGUAGGGGUGAGGAUUGCCAUGGACGUGUUUGCUCUUACCAAUGCUCUGUGCUAUGGAGAUGCCAUUGCCAUGUAAUCCCAUGCAUUUUGCAGCUUUUCUCCAGGGUGCUUAAAUCCCUGUGCAGACAUUGCAGCUAAACUGAAAACAAUGAAACUUUUUAAAAAGUUUUUUUUUAAAAAAACAUACUCAGUAUUUUGACUGUUUUUAUUUGGUGGCAGAUGUCCAACACCAAGGUGUGAUGGGAGUGGUCCUAUGACUGGUAAUUAGCCUCACAUAGAUGUGCCUUCAUUUUUUCUCAUGGUGGAUUCUGUCUUUCAAUUUAUUGUUUUCAGCUUGCCUCAAAAAUGCUGUCCAAGUACAAACAUUGAAUUAUGCAUCAUCCCUUUAAGUGUGGUAUGUUGACCUUUGAAAGCAUGCUGAUUGAUUAUCAUGUGGUAUAAUGUCUAUUUUGAAAUAAACCACCUAAAUUUGGAAAAUUAUUUAUAAA